AUGAUGAGGAACUAGAUAGGGACAACAGAUCUUCAAUGACGAGGAAAGUCUUUUCAAUGCCCAGUUUUUAGUAGAGCUUGGGCGCUAA